rnacentral:rRNA from 1 species
GUGGGGAAUAUUGGACAAUGGGCGGAAGCCUGAUCCAGCAACGCCGCGUGAGGGAUGACGGCCUUCGGGUUGUAAACCUCUUUCAGUAGGGACGAAGCGCAAGUGACGGUACCUACAGAAGAAGCACCGGCCAACUACGUGCCAGCAGCCGCGGUAAUACGUAGGGUGCGAGCGUUGUCCGGAAUUAUUGGGCGUAAAGGGCUCGUAGGCGGUUUGUCGCGUCGGGAGUGAAAACACCGGGCUUAACUCGGUGCUUGCUUUCGAUACGGGCAGACUAGAGGUAUGCAGGGGAGAACGGAAUUCCUGGUGUAGCGGUGAAAUGCGCAGAUAUCAGGAGGAACACCGGUGGCGAAGGCGGUUCUCUGGGCAUUACCUGACGCUGAGGAGCGAAAGUGUGGGGAGCGAACAGGAUUAGAUACCCUGGUAGUCCACACCGUAAACGUUGGGCGCUAGGUGUGGGGCCUAUUCCAUGGGUUCCGUGCCGCAGCUAACGCAUUAAGCGCCCCGCCUGGGAAGUACGGCCGCAAGGCUAAAACUCAAAGGAAUUGACGGGGGCCCGCACAAGCGGCGGAGCAUGCGGAUUAAUUCGAUGCAACGCGAA